ACUCCGGGCCCCUCGAAAUCCAUAGCUUCAAACAACACCACGGCCGGGUCGGCGAAAUCCUGGGGCCCAGGGAGAGUCAAGCCUGGGUCGGAAACAGCCCCUCCCGCCUGAGGACAGAAACCCCUGAAAGUGCCCAGAACCCAGGGAUGCAGCCCACCGGGGGAAUUCGGGAUAAGGCAUCAUUGCAGCCUGAGGAAAAGCAGCAGGAGGGAGAGAGGCUAGAUCUCAGGGAACAUUUCCAGGUCCUCUGGAGAACUGAGAGUGAGGUGGAAGCUCACCCCUUGUAAAUUGUACUAGAGGGAAGCCUGGUUGUGGCAAGAGGGAUGGCCCAACUGCCCUCGCUUACCGUGCGGAUGACCCGCAGGGAGGUCAGCACCUCGUCGUACCCUCCCCAGUGUGACCAGUCGGCGUAUUCCCCCUCCUCCAGCAGGUACUGGUGGCCCCGGAAGCCCUCCUUUUCGUAGCCCACCCAGCUGGGGAGGGAGAAGAUGGUCAGUCGCAGGAAGCCCAUGAACGGUUCUCCAGAACCAGCCAGCACUUCCCCAGGCUGUUUUCCCAAGCUGGGGCUUGGCCUCUGCCUGGCCCCUGCCUCUUCAAGUCAGCCUCUGCACACUCCCCACUUGGAUCCAAGACUAGGAUCCUGGAGGUCAGGGCCCACAGCAGACAAGGCAACAUCUGGCCUCCCAUCCCCAUCCUCAGCCCACUCACCUGGACAACCCUCCUCAGGGAGCCAAUGCCUUUGGGGCUCCAUGCUGUCCCUGGGGCUUGGAGUUCCACAUCUCCUUCAGGCAAGACCAGCUUCCGGCCCUGGAACUCCGGCUCUUCAUAUAGCACCCAGCUGUGGGCACAGAGACCCCACAGUCACUGGGUGGGAGGGGGGUGUACCCUCAAGGCAGCUGAUGGGGUUUCUGCUAGGUUGGCCUGGACACUUC